GAGCCAUCUUCUUUCAGUAUAAACGUCGAUACGCCUGUCCCUCCUCCUCGUUCGCUCGCCGACUGGAGCGAGAUGGAGGCGAAGGGAUCGGAUUCGCUGUCGCCUAGCGAUUGGGCCUCGAGGGCGCUGCCGUCGUCGUCUCCUCCCGCAAGCAGAGGAACGUCGAUGAGGCGGCGGAGAAGCUGAUGUCGAAGGGAAUCGAGGUGAUGGGGGUGGUCUGCCACGUUUCGAAUCCCCAGCACCGGCACGAUCUCAUCGAGAAGACCGUCCAGGUUAGCGCUUCUCCUCCUAAGAAACUAAGUACAAGGAAGAGAAAUCUUGAAGAUGCAAUAAAAUUUUGUAGAUCGAACAAAAGUAGAGAAGAGAGAAAGAGACAGAGAAUAAUUUCGGGAAAAGGCGCCAAAAAUUCUUUGAUGUUGAUGAACAACACCGUCAUGCAAAAUUCAGAGCUGUCACUGCCAGACACUUUGGUGCCUUAGGCUUUUACCUUGCUUAAGACACUCAUGAGCAAAUAAGACAGGCCUUAGAACAGCUGCAUGAUCCUUUUUCUAAUCUGAUCAGCUGACCACCAACAACUAUGGAACUUUCCAGAUUCUUGGAUUGAACCAACUUAGACAGGAUGUUGUUAGCCAUCAACAGAGAAUUGAUGAAUUUGAUGGGAUUUGUGGUUUUAAUUGCUGAUCCAUGCACACUUUUAUUUGCAAUGGAGAACCCCUCUGAAUUGAUUUUGUUGCCUCUCUCGUUAGCUCGGUGUCAUUUGUCUAGAAUAUGCUUUGGAGUGUAGCAUCCUGAUGCACCCAGGAGGCGAGAGGAAUCCAGCAGAUGGAGGCCAAGAUCAAAUCAAAUUGGACAAAAGAAGAGGGUGGUGUUUGUCAAGUCAAUGCCUGGUUUUGUAUCAUUAGGUCUGUGUCUUUGUGUUUAGAUUAGGCUGCUGAAACUAACAUAUGGACUCCUUAUAUUGUCAAUGAUGGACUAGUUGGAGAGAAGUAAGACAUUGGUGAGAAGAUAUACUUGAUCAAUUUUCAGCCUCCAUCAUGUUAGCUAGUUGAUGAAAUAUGGUCACAUAGGCAUAGUUGUGUCGAAUGCUGCUGCUAAUCCGUCAGUGGAUAACAUUCUGGAUACCAGAGCGUCAGUGCUUGAUAAACUUUGGGAGAUCAGUGUGAAUUCCUCAGUUCUUAUUCUGCAGAUAAUUUAUAUGCAAAUGGGGUUUCACUUAGCCUUAUUUGAGAAUAUUAACUUCGUGUCUUUUGCAAGCUGCUGCAUCUUACUUGAAGACGGGAUCAUCCGUCAUCCUUAUAUCUUCAAUUGCAGGUUAUCUUCCGCAGUCAUCCAUGGCCAUGUAUGGUGUCACAAAGACUGCUCUUCUCGAGCUUACUAAG